UUGACCUCGAAUCAGGUAGGGAUACCCGCUGAACUUAAGCAUAUCAAUAAGCGGAGGAAAAGAAACCAACCGGGAUUACCCUAGUAACGGCGAGUGAAGCGGUAACAGCUCAAAUUUGAAAUCUGGCUCCCUGCGGAGUCCGAGUUGUAAUUUGUAGAAGAUGCUUUGGGUGCUCGGCCCGGUCUAAGUUCCUUGGAACAGGACGUCGUAGAGGGUGAGAAUCCCGUAUGCGGCCGGGGUGGGUGCUCGUGUAAAGCUCUUUCGACGAGUCGAGUUGUUUGGGAAUGCAGCUCAAAAUGGGUGGUAAAUUUCAUCUAAAGCUAAAUAUGGGCCAGAGACCGAUAGCGCACAAGUAGAGUGAUCGAAAGAUGAAAAGCACUUUGGAAAGAGAGUUAAACAGUACGUGAAAUUGUUGAAAGGGAAGCGCUUGCAACCAGACUUGGGCGUCGCUGAUCAUCCAAAGUUUUCUUUGGUGCACUCGACGACGUACAGGCCAGCAUCGGUUGGGGUGGUGGGAGAAAGGUUGUAGGAACGUAGCUCUUUUCGGGGAGUGUUAUAGCCUGCGACGCAAUGCCGCCUACCCUGACCGAGGACCGCGCUUCGGCUAGGAUGCUGGCGUAAUGGUUGUAAGCGACCCGUCUUGAAACACGGACCAAGGAGUCUAACAUCUAUGCGAGUGUUUGGGUGCGAAACCCAUGCGCGAAAUGAAAGUGAACGUAGGUGAGAACCCUUCGAGGGGGCAUCAUCGACCG
rnacentral:rRNA from 1 species